UCAUGUAAAUGCUGGCCAGUAUCCAGAACAGAAAUCCAUAGAAACAUCUCACAUCUAUAUACUAAACGGCAUCUCGCGGAAAUUCUACAUCCGCGGAAAGCCAUACUGCACCUCGCGGGGUCUUACUAUGCCCGGCGGCAAGCAGAAUAUAAGUCGUAGGACUGGCCGAUCCUACGCCUAGGGCCGUGUCCCCUCUAGGAAGGGACUGGGCUCCGCCCACCCAGAAGGCUACUAUGUGCACACAGGCCGAUGUUCAACCCCAUCGACUAUAGGUGUCCUGUAGAUACUGCCAAGCCAUGCAUGAAUGCCAUAAUGCACCCUC
rnacentral:lncRNA from 1 species